GUCCUCCCAUUGUGUCAUAAGUCCCUGAGGCCGAUAUCCGUCUCUGCAGCCACAGAUGCUACUGCUUUUUCCGGAAUCCACUGUUCGAAGUUGAAGACCAACGGCUGCAAGACUUGUUCAAGCAUCCUCUUUUGUAUAGUGUUUCAAGUGCUGCCCCAGAUGGACAUCUGUAAUCUCAGACAGCGAUUCCCUAGGACGAAGGAGAGCCUUUGCCUCACCUGGACAGCUCAGGUUGAUGCGACAGAAUUGGAGCGGCCUAACAAACGUACGAUCGGCCGCGUUCCGGAGCACCUCGAAACCUUUCCGUAUCACGCGUUGGGAUUUCUCAUGACACAGCAUCCCGGGCGUCCCUCUGUGCAAAGUCAAGCGGUAAAGGAUUGAAUAACUGACAAGCGGUGUCUGGGAUUCAAAUGGUUCUGUUAAAAUUAAGCAAAGAACGCAAUAAGAAAAAUUAUCAUCCUUUUAAUGUCUGAAAUAGUUUGGAAUAAAAAUGCUGGGAAAAGGCAUUUUUGUAUUUGAAUUGGUGUCACCUGGAUAUAACCCCACAGCGAGCAAUCAGAGCAGAAAUGCGAAAGCCGGGAUUCUGCGACUCCUGCAGAGGACUUAAUUUUCUUUUCCUCCUCUCUUUUAGGACAGGAAAAAUCAUUACAGUCCUCUCAUCUUUGCCAAAAGACGUGGCGUUUCAGCAGCCAAAGCCAAGAGGCUUCAGCACCAGGGGUCUGCGCUGGAGGGCUCCUGGUCCUGCCCGUACUGUGGGGUUUGCAGUUUAUUAUGAGGGUGUGGGUGUAAGAAAGAGUGUGGAGCAUGGAGAGUAAGAGAUAAGGGGGUGAGAGAGAGAGAUUAGAAAUCGGAGGUAAGAGGUAAGAGAGAGCAAUUUUCCAUUCACAAUACAAUAAGUAUUCUUCUAUAAUGAAUAUUCUAAUUUUCCAAUAACCAAUCUAAUACAAUAUACUAAUUUCCUCAUAUUUGCACGCAAUCUAUAGAAACUACCAAAUUACUAUGUUUUAUGGCUUUCUUAUCUGUAACCCUUAUCUUUAGACCUUUGCUGCCAGGCUUAGGACAAAAUGUCUGUUAGUUCUUUGGUAUUUGUGGCAUUUAGUAUUGUCUAAACAAAGAAGGCUCAAACCUCAACCUGACUGUUUUCAGCAUCUAUAUAAAAAUAGGCUAACAUCUCAAUUUCAUCUGUUGUUUCAGAACUACUUGCUAGGCACUUA